rnacentral:lncRNA from 1 species
CUCCGGGGGCGGGCUGCAAUAAAACAGCAAAAUCCUCCAUUCCCCAUCAGCGGUCGAUUGGGGGCUCUUUCGAAGCGGCAGCUCUGUAGGACCGCUCUUCUACCCCAAGAUCCCUCGGCUUCGGCCCCCUAGGUGCCAGGGUCUGCGGGACCCCACGCUCAAAGCCGCCGGCCGGGGUCGACAACUGCAGAGAGGGUCGGGAUAGGAAAUUGCGGGUAGCGGCAGAUGCGGGUCCCCAGGCAUCCCGGAGGUUCCCACAGGUCUGCAGUGGGCCUACUUUGCGAAAAGGGCCCGGCUGCGCCGAGCCUCGUUCAAAUCAGAUGCCAGACAGUGUUUCUUGGGAUCCAUCCAAAUAGGUCCCUUAUUUCUCUUUGUGGGAGCCCUGGGCCUCCUUCCAGGCCGGAACCCAAGUGCUUAGGCAGCCGGGAAAGGCCGGUCCCCUUUUUCAGUUCUCUCGCGACCUCUAGCCACUUCCGGUUGCUAACGGUUCCCAAACAGCCCCCGAAAACGCUACGUGAGCUGGGCCCUGGGCCAGAGGCAGAAAACGGACGGAAGAAAAGGUCUGGCCGGAGAUGGGUCUCACUCUGUCACCCAGACUGGAGUGCAGUGAGUGGUGCGAUCAUAGCUUACUGCAGCCUGAAACUCCUGGGCUCAAGUGAUCUUCUCGCCUCAGCCUCCUGAGUAGCUGGAGCUACAGGUGUGAGCUACCCAGCAUGGCUCAUUUGAGAUUUCUGAGUAGAGAAGUAACAUGAUUAAACUUGGGUAUUGAGAUUAUUAUUUUGGCUGCUAUGUUAACAGUAGACUUGAAUGUGAAGGGGUUGGGCAAGGGCAGAAGCAGGGAGACAGGUUGGAAAGUUGGAGUGGGAAGGGCCUUUUUAAGAAUAACACAAACCCCUAAAGACAUAAAACUGAAAAGGCCAUGGAGGAAAAGAUAAAUGAAACUGGCCUUGUAAAAUUGAAAUAUUUGAAUGAAAAAAGUAAAAAUAAAAUAUAAACUAAAAGUAAAAUAUGCCACACAUCUAAAAGACACAGCUGAUUUUCCUGAUAUACAAAGACCUUUUAUCUUACCAAAAAAUAAAAAUAUGAACAAGCCAAUAGAAAAAUAGACAAAGUACUUAACCUGCAUGCAUUUAUUGUCAGGCCUCUGACAAUAUGAUACUAAGCCAUCAUAGCCCCUGUGACCGCCACGUAUACAUCCAGAUGACCUGGAGCAACUGAAGAACCACAAAAGAUGGCAUUCCACCAUUGAGAUUUGUUCCUGCCCCACCCCAACUAAUCAAUCGACCUUGUGACAUUCCCCCUGCCCCCGACAGUGAGUCUCAUGAUCUCCCCACCCAGCACCUUGGCACCUUGUGACCCCCGCCCCUGCCCACAAGAGAUAACCACCUUUAACUGUAAUUUUCCACUACCUACCCAAAUCCUAUAAAACUGCCCCACCCCUAUCUCCCUUUGCUGACUCUCUUUUUGGACUCAGCCCACUUGCACCCAAGUGAAAUAAACAGCCUUGUUGCUCACACAAAGCCUGUUGGUGGACUCUCUUCACACAGACUCACUUGACAUUUAUAGAACACAAAAUUAAGAAUAGUGAAUAUGAAAAGGUUCACUAAUAAGAAUUUAAACAAAACAAGAAAGAUUUUUAAGAUUGCUAAAGACAAACGAUUUAUAAUAUUCAGUGUUAGGAGGUGUGUGGAUAUACAGGCAUACUUAGUUUUACAUUUUUAGAAGGUAAGACUUAUUUAGAAGGUAAGAAGUUGUCCAUACCCCUUGAUUCAACAACUUAGCUUCUUGGAAUUAUCCAUAUAGAAAUGCUUACAUAAAUGUUUGAACGUAUGUACAAAGAAGCACUAUUUAUUUAAAUUGGGAAACUUGAAUGCCUAACAUUUGGAAUUUAAAUUUUUAUAUGUCUAUUCAUUAAAAUACCACCCAGUUUUUAGAAACUAAGAGAUGCUAAAGGUAUAUUGAGUAAAAUAAAAAGUUACAAAA